AGUGAACGCUGGCGGUAGGCCUAACACAUGCAAGUCGAACGGCAGCACAGUAAGAGCUUGCUCUUACGGGUGGCGAGUGGCGGACGGGUGAGGAAUACAUCGGAAUCUACUUUUUCGUGGGGGAUAACGUAGGGAAACUUACGCUAAUACCGCAUACGACCUACGGGUGAAAGCAGGGGAUCUUCGGACCUUGCGCGAUUGAAUGAGCCGAUGUCGGAUUAGCUAGUUGGCGGGGUAAAGGCCCACCAAGGCGACGAUCCGUAGCUGGUCUGAGAGGAUGAUCAGCCACACUGGAACUGAGACACGGUCCAGACUCCUACGGGAGGCAGCAGUGGGGAAUAUUGGACAAUGGGCGCAAGCCUGAUCCAGCCAUACCGCGUGGGUGAAGAAGGCCUUCGGGUUGUAAAGCCCUUUUGUUGGGAAAGAAAAGCAGCAGGUUAACACCCCGCUGUUCUGACAGUACCCAAGGAAUAAGCACCGGCUAACUUCGUG
rnacentral:rRNA from 1 species